CUUGCAUUAACUAGGCCCCCUCCUCUUACCUUAUGAUACCUCACCUGAGCUAAGAUAAAGUCCGUGUUUUCUUCACUUAAAACCACUCCUUCCAGGUAUGUGUCCUUUACAAUAAGCACUCCUCACUGGUUAAUGUGAUAUUUAGCACUUUUAACUAUCUGCAAUGCAAUAAACCACGUUUUUUUUGUGUGUGUGUGGGAACAGAUUAGGGUUAAGCUAGCCGUGUUAGCUUAAACACGGGGUCCCACGUGGGUCAAAUUCAACAAGAUAAUAGCACUGCUGUGGUCACUCUGUCAAUUCAGUUUGGAUUAAUUAUUGAGCAGAAACGUGGGUUUAUUGGAAAGCAAGUGUGCAGGGUUUCAGUGGGAUUGUUAAAUGCUGUAUAGCCACAUUGCUUUACAAACUGUCCAGGCUUCAUUUGAUAUUUUUGACCUAAGAUGGGUGCCUAUUUUGUGCAGAGUUGUGUUAUAAGUCUUGACCUUCCACUGUCGCAUGGGCUGCUUGGUAGUGAACAGACUUCCGCAGGUCAUUAUUUGUGAGGAUAAAGUACUACUUACUUACGAAAAUAAAGUUAUUAAUUUAUGUAAAGUUACCUGAUGUGGAGGAGAGUUGUUAAAAUGGGGGCUGUGGAGCAUAUAUGAAUUGUACUUCGGUAUAGGUUUCACAAACAUGGAGAUACUUAAUUCUUUGGUACAUCAGCAUGACAUUGUCAUGAGUAUCAGAACUUUAAAAAAAAUAAAUGAGAAAUGCAUCACAGGUGGACUUUGAAGGAAUCGCUGCUUUUGUGGAGGGAAAAUGGCUGGAAAUGGCUGUACAGAGGCUAAAUCUAUCAGCUGUUAAUAGCACAGGGCUUUAGUUUAUCAUAUAAGUCUAUAUGCCAUUAGGUGUUGUUACUGUCUUACAGUAAUCAUUGGGUCCGUCUUCUUUUUUAGUUUGACUAGAUAUCAAAAAUCUACUGGAUAUACAGCAAUGCUACUUUUUGAUUGGCUUUUUGGUAGAUUCGUUAUUUGAUUGGCCUGCGCAUGGCAUGCAGCUCCUGGACUCUUGCGGCAACUCACUUAAUUCCUACCUGUUCCAUUGUUAAAGAGGUGCAACUUGGUGGACGUCACCGUGGUCAUUUAAAUGCGUGAGAAAUACAAUGUGUGGUGUGUGAACGGGAGGGAAUGUGAAAGACUUGAGAGCCCUGCUUCCGUGUCAUUGAGUUGUAAGCAAUCCAACCGAAUAGUGAUUUUACGUCUUUGGAGAGGUAGAGAAGUGAUGUUUUUCUGUAUUUAAUGGAGAAAAAUCUGGAAAUCUGAAUCCUUUUUAGAAACAGAAUUAGGUUGGUUUUGUUUGGUUCAAGUAUCACCCCACGAUCCCCAGAGUGCAUCUUGGAAACGACUGUCCUGAUUAGUGAUAAAUCAUUUAAUGAACUGACUUGUACCUGAAGCACAAAUUUAUCGAUAGAAUUUGCUAAUGCGUCCAAUGUAGUAGACUCACAUUUCAAAUUUCUUACAAAUCUCUUUACUGUUUGAUCAGGUCUGUUUGUUUGGUAGUCAAGGGUAGGCGUAUGUUUGUUGUAGCGCCGGUUUAACAAAGAUAAUUACAUGCAGAUUUCAGUGGUUGUGCACUUAAUCCUAUAGUCUGUGUUAAAUCAAGCAGUAAAACUGUCUGGUACAAUUCAAACCACUGUGUUCAUGUAACAUAAAACUUAUUGAUAAGACUCUUACCCAGAGUCAACACUGGGCCGAGACUGUAAUGUGUACUGAACUGGCAAAUAGUGUCACAUUGCAAUGAAUCAAUGAGUGGCAACGACAGAGGGAGAAGGGUGGAAGGCUCUCCAUUACAUGCGGAAAAUGUGAGAUAUGCUAUGUUGGGGAUAAAUGUUGGGGGUAAAUUGGAUAAAUAUUGUAAUUUUUAACUUAGCCACAUCUGAUUGUGUGGUUAAAGUAAUUCCUGAGCACUUCUGCUUUUUCUGUCGAACCAGCCAUGUUACACUUAUCCUAAUUGGUUCAUUUUCUUGUGCAAAUACCCAAAAGUCAUCUCUGUGUGAUUAAGUCCAUGUUUUUACUCUGAUCAGUGCAUUUGUAACAAGUUCAACCUGACAGGAAAAAGUGGUUCACACACAGCCAUGAGUUAAAAACAGUGUAACGGUUAAGCUCCAUUGAAAGUGAAUUGCCUGAGAAUAACUUUUUAAAUAUUUGUUUUCCAGUAUUUAUGGGCCUUGUGUUGUAUUUAGAAAUAAGUACACGUUUUAAGUAUUUUGAACAUUUUGAACAAGUUGAACUGCAUCUCCUGCCGUAUCUCCUCUCACUCAACCCCCCUGGUAGGUCUUUACAUCCCAUCUUCCACAUCAUUAGGUUCCCUUGGUGCGCAUAGUUCCAUCUGUGCUUAGCUGAAUGUUGACCACAGAGCGAUCAUGCAACACGAUUCAAUCAUUUAAAACCUCAACAUCCAUCAUCUCACGUAUGUUCACUCUUGCAGCUCAUCCUCCUCAGAACAGUACAUCAUGAUCGACAGACUGGUUUACAUGUUGCACUGAUCUGUUGCUCUGUUCAUGUGCACCGCAUAUCUCAGCUUGAGGACAACACAGGGAAAGGAACAACAGAUCCAGCAGAUUUUAAUGGGAAAAUGUUUUUUGUGUGCUCGUGGUUCUCUGCUGUCAAAUAUGGUUACUCUUUUGUGGGCGGCAGUAAACAUUCCCUUGUUCCUAUUCCUGUUUAACCCCCCGUGACUGACUUGAGUGAUUGUGGAAAUUGGCAGAUAUUCCCACAUUGUACAGAGAAAGAAAAUAUUGUCAUUUCUUGAAAAAUUCAUUUGACUUCUCAAAACAGUUAAUCUAAGUUCAGGCUUUUUAUUUACUAUAAGUAAACUGAUACUGUGGGUUAGUUUAUCUGUUUUUCUACCCCUUGGGUGUGUUUUUUUGUCUGGGAAAUACUAUAUACAAGCCAGAGUGACCCUGACCUUUAUUUUAUGUACAGUACAUAGCUGCAUUCCCCUGACAAGGCUGAAUUUUUUACUGUAUUGGUGGUUAGAGUUACAGGAUGACACAGCAUGAUUUUCAUGGUCAAGAACAGCUGCCAACAGUUGUCUUAUUACCUCGCCUUUGUGCUCUGCAGGUACACUCCCUGCAGAAACAUGCUUGGAUACAGCAUGUUCCCUUUCAUGUUGCUGUGCUUGGUCAGCCUUAACACAAAGCUGCUGUUGGUCCUGUAAGUUUUCAUCAGUUGUAUGUCUGCUUGUGUAACUUUGAUUCAGUCAGGCAGGCAGCAAAAAAGGAAAAAAAAGAAAACCUGGUGGUGCAAUGGUGGAAUGGAAAAAGUUAAGAAGACGUACAGGGACAGUGAUUUUAUUAAACUAACAAUCCAGACUCGCAUUUCAGGCAAAAAGAGAUGAGCUACAGUACAAAACAGUUAAGUCAACACGAUUAAGUCUAUCAAAAGUCCUUUUUCUAAAGUAUUCCAGACAUCUGCCAUAAAAAAAGUCCUAGCCACACAAGAUAUUGAUCUUAAAUAGUAAAUUUAGACACUCCACAGCUUCAUCUGAUCACUGAAACAAAAGGCUUUGAGAAACUUUCAAUAGAUGCUCAAAUUUAGCUUUCAUGCAUACAUAUUUUGCUGUGAAAUUAAUUUGUCUAGGACCUCAGCAUCUAAAAACCCUAAUGUAACAUAUGAUGAUUCAGAUUUAAAUUUACUCUGUUGAUCUCUCCAGUAGUCCAGUAUUCAGAAAAGGUCAGUACAAUCCUAUUAGUCCUGAGCAAUCUCAAAUAUUGUCACCCUAUUAAAAUAAUGGCAUUUAGCCAAUAAAGUAAUUUUUUUUUUUUUUUUUUUACAAAAAUGAGUUUUUGGCCUAAAUCAUCUCUUGAUAAUGCUGGCCAUCUCUGGUAAAAUCACCUAAAUCCUUAGUUGAAAGGAUCAUGGCAUGGCAUCAGGCCAAAAACUCAUUUUGAUCAAAAAUUGACUUCGGCCAUUAUUUUAGUAGGUUGAUGAUAUGAUGAGGACUAGAACAAAGCACAGACAGUAAAAAGCCUUUCAUUUGCCAUUACUGGAGAUCUCCCAGUUUACUGUUUCUUACAAACCACCAAACUGUGUUAAAUACUUGAUUCUGAUUGGUCAAUGCACCUUGACGAUCACUCAUUCUGAAUAGCAAAGGCAGACUUUCAGGUUAUUGAUAAAAUUAUGACUUUGUUUCACCUCCCAUCAGAUCUUUUAGGUUAAUGAGUGUGUUCGUCGUAGCCACAGGACAGUGAGGUGAUUAUGGAUUAACGUUAGACCGCGAGCUGCAGCGAGCCUGAAGCCUGUUUAGUUUUCUGCAGAGCUGUUCCCUAGGAGAAGAGAGACCUCCAUCAGCAGAGUAAGUUCACUGCCGCACCAAGCAUCUUUUUAAGGACGCUUGCAAUGUUCUUUAAGUGUUACCUGCAUUUGGCCUGCCACAUAGCAGCCUGUACUGUUAAGCAAGGUGCUUGUGUUUUUACUCCAGCCAACCAAUCAUAGGCAUGGAGAUGGACCAGUUACCAAGGUAACCAGAAAAAUAAAUGCUUUUUAGUCGAUCAUCACAGAGACAGAUGCUCAUUUUUGUGUUGGUUUGCCUGUUUCUUGCUGCUGAGUGUUGUGUUAGUCACUGUUUGACUUCUUUUGUGAGCAAUCAUUUAUCUGCAACAAGUGUGCAUGGGUGAAAGUUACCCCCGCCUACAUUCAUCUUUUUUAUAGGGUGGUUGUCAACUGGUGCAUGUUGGUAAGAAAUCAUUGAUACAAGGUAAGGGGCCACAACUAGCCAGUCAUGAGCUAGCAUAUUAUGAGCCUCACAAAGCUGUUCAGCCUGUUUGAUGAGAAAGAAGAAAAAAGACCCGUGGACAAUUUUUUGUAUCACCACAUCAAACAAAACACAGAGAAUCAUUUCUGGUGAAGGAGUUCCUUGUGGAAACAAGAUGACCCAAAUGAGAAGACAUCUGAUGAAGAAGCACUCUGCAUUGUCUGCCCAGGUAAAUCAAUAACAUAAACUGAUUUGAUCAUAUGAAUGUAAGUGAAGUCUCUAAAUUUAGUGUAAAAAAACCCAGAUCAUUUUCUGGGACAAAUCUUCUACUAUCAUUUUACAUUUAUGUGACAUUUUUAGAUGAGGCAGCACAAUUUGACAGACGCUGGUUCGCGUUUAGCAUGAUUCCUUAACCAAUCCUUUGAGCCCAGUUGCUUUAUCGUAGAUAUUUAUCUUCUCCUUCUAAACGAUUUAUGAUUUUUAAAACCAGUGUAGAUGGUUAGAUGAUGUUCAUCUUUAGAGCCUACACAGAAGUAUUUUUCACUGCUCUAUAAAAUCAGGAAUCUGCAAAGAGAAGCAUUGUGUUGAGUUUAGAAGUAGAUCUCAGAAAAGUAAAAGGUCUGUGUUGUAAGAUAAUCAAGAGUUAUCCUUGUGUGAUAUACUGUAUGUGACUGCUGGAUGGUGCUCUGACAAAAAAAUAGCUGAACUGACACUGCUGUCUGACUGGGUUUUAACACAAAAACCACUGAGUUUGAAAAACAUUGUGGUUUUGUCUGCUAGAGACAUAUAAGGGUAAAUAUGUAUGUGUCUUAACAGCUGACGCUCAGACACUAAGCCACAUGCUCAGUGUCUGAGUGUCAGCUGUUAAGUGGGACAAAUUUCAUGAAACUUUGUCAGUUGGCAGUGGAAAUAACUGAUUUAUGUCUUUCAGAUUCCAGAGACUGAACACGUACAACAGAAAACAUGCAGAGGCAGCAGACAACCAUUCAAAAUAUACUGUACUUGGGAUCAAAGUGCCAUCUAGAUGGGAAAGAUCAGAUGACCAAAAAGAACCCUCUCCAUGUGGAUAAGUCAUCCUGGUCUGCAAGCUCAGGCAACGGGGGACAUUGAUAUUAUCAAAAUGAUGGAGGUGGUGGACUACACCAUAAAGAGCACAUAUUGCUCCGCCUAGAACAGACCUCAUAACCAUAUACUGCCAGGUCUGUUAACGCUUGUGUUGACCAUUCCACUGAAAUGUGGGGAAUGCCACAUUUGAUGAUAAGAUCAUUGCAGUCAUUAAGGUUUAUGGGAGCAACAUGGUUGCUGCAUUUAAACCACAAGAGGAAGAGGAGAUGAUGGUGGUGAGAGAAAGCAUUUGAAUUAGGACAAAAUGAGGUAAGACCACGAUUGAGUUAUUUAAUGUCAAAUAAUAUUAUUGUGACUAAAAUACAUGGUCAACUCCAAACACACAAACCUUUUACAUCAUAAACGUUGGAUUCUUUUGUCCCCAUACUGUAAUACAAUAUUCUUGAAGUAAUUAACUGGUCUUUUUUUAAUUUACUUUUUGUAGCAUAUGGAUUAAAACAUAUCGGCCCUCAUUUAUCAAUCGUGUAGAACCCAGGAUUCAUCGUUCAAUAGGACACACGUGAGAUUUAUGAAAGGGCUCGUAUCUGACCAAUUGCUGCAUACGAUUGAUCAGGUCUUGAUAGAUGCGGCGGCUGAAAUCGAUCGUCAUUAACAGGUCAUGCCCUGGUUCAGAAGCCUCGCCCACCGAGGUCAAAUAUGAAGGAGGAAAAAUAUUAGAAAGAUGCGAAACUUUUCCAAGCUGAAAGUGGAUAUCCUCAUGUCUGUGGUGGAAACUAAGAAGGACGUGCUCUUUGGAAGCAGCAAAACUGGUACAAACUGGCUUAAAAGCAGUCCAGAAAAACCCUGUCUGGAGACGGUGGCGGUGAACAGCGUUGCCGCAGAUUAGCGGACACCGGCUGAAGUUUGAAUAAAUCAUUGGUCACCAAGUUGUCCAUGAUGAUAAAUUAAUAUCUCAUGCAUACCUCAUAUUCUAUUGUUGCCAUAACAAAGUCUAUGUUGCUCCUGUUAUUGAAAGUAUUUAGUUUUAAUUUGUUGCUGCUUUAUAAUGUAGAGCAGACUGGAGAUUCCAACUGAGGCUUAACAAAAUAAUUAUUAACGUCAUAGACUGUAUAUAGAAUAGAUGUCGUCUGCCUCCCCGCUGUGUGAAGCCACUGCGAGAACAGCACCCUCUGGUGACGGGCUGCAGUAUAGGUCAUAAAUAACAUCAUUUUUGACUGUAUUUAUAGCUAAAUAGAUGACAAGAACACCAUUUCCCCCAGCCUGUAUAACACCUGCGCCCCGUAAUAAUUUUUAGAUAUGUAUCUUUCUUGGGUAAAAUAAUUACGUAUUGUCCUUUUUAGUUUGGGAGUUUCUAGAUUUCCAUUGAAAAAGUAAUCAAAUUAUCUAAAUGUCAUUUCUCUGUCUAUUUCUCAGCUAUAACAGACACUUUGCUUUAUUCCCACAUUGCAGUAGGUUGUUAGCGGGAUCCAGAGAAGUCUAUGUGACACGUCUCCUGGACAAAGUGGAGGUAGUUGUCGAACUGAUUCACUUCAGUUUCAAAAGAGAAACUUUGCCAGCUCAGUGGACUCCCUCUUAUUAAAGACUAUACGACAAGAUGAGCCAGCACUCUCAACCAGAUGAUUUCCUCUGCGGGGAAAGAUAUGGGGGCCGAUGGGAUGGUUUGGAUUGUCUCCUGCCAAGUGGAUAUGUCAAGAAGACUGCAGUCCUGGAACUCCUGCUGCCCUUUUGCUGAGAAUACAAAACACUUCAAAGUGACACAGUGUUCCUGUCUUUGAUUGUCCCUGCUCCUCUGACUUUAUCCCUCACCUGUUCUCUCCCAGAAAUCAGCACACAGUGGCCUGUGUGGACUGACAGAUGAAAUGAAAGUUAACCUUGAAGAGCACUUCAGCUGCUUUCUUUGUCCUCGUGCAGCAAAGUUCCCCCCUCUUGCAGUUGCUGGAGAUAUUCUCAUUGAAAACACAGAUAAUGGGAUCCAAGAAGUUUUGACCGAAGCAGAAAAAAGGGUCUUCAGUGUAAUCACAUCCACACCACAAAGAGAUUUGAAUAACCGGUAAAGGAUAAAGGAUGUUGAGGAAAUGUCCUCUUCAGAGCACCUGUAAUUUAGGUUUUCAUCCAUCAAGCACAAGGGACAGCAAAUAAGAGUUGACAAUCUCUAUAGCAUGUCCUGUGCCACUCACAACAGUGUUGUGUCGUUCGCAAAUGAUUUUUCGCAGCUGCCAUAGCAUGCAGAAUUGCCGGACGAGCAGCUGGCGAGCAAGGGACCAACGCCUGAAUCACUUGGUGAAUGCAUCACUCAGUAAACUACACUCUCAGGAAUCAUUUUCGUAUGAGUGAUUCACUAUCAUGGCGACCGUUGUUCCCCGUUGUUUUAACAGAUUUAGUUCCCAAUUAACCAAACUUAAAACGUUAGGCUAGCAGUAAUGAGAAGAGAGUGAGACUUACCAGCUGUAGAAAGCUCUUUACAGGAGCGUCGGCGGGAGAUAGGGGUGUAUUGUGUUUAAAUGUACCUCGGAGAAAACAAACUUUUUUUGUUUUGAUAAAUUGCCACCACAUCAACGUGCAUGCAGUAGGACACGGCAUGCAACAAGUAGCGUAUAAAACCCUCAGUUUGAGAAAAUGCGUGACUGUCUAAUCCUAUCAUUGCGGCGAUUCGCCAAUGUUCAAUCCUUCACUGAAUGUACUGUUCGGUAUACGUUCAGUGAACGAAUCGCUCACUGAACCCAGUUUACCAAGUAGACCAUAUAUAUACAGUACAGGCCAAAAGUUUGGACACACCUUCUCAUUCAAUGCAUUUUCUUUGUUUUCAUUACUAUUUAAAUUGUAGAUUCUCAAAACUAUGAAUGAACACAUGUGGAAUCAUGUGCUUAAGAAAAAAGUGUGAAAUAACUGAAAACAUGUUUUAUAUUUUAGAUUUCUCAAAGUAGCCACCCUUUGCUUUUUUGAUAGCGCUGCAAACUUUAGCUGUUCUCUCAAUGAGCUUUAUGAGGUAGUCACCUGAAAUGGUUUUUACUUUACAGGAGUGCCUGAAGUAACCCUGACAAGGUACUUCUGUCAUCAAGACCAAAGGAUGGCUAUUUUAAAGAAACUAGAAUAUAAAACAUGUUUUCGGUUAUUUCACACUUUUUUUAUAAGUACAAAAUUCCACAUGUGUUCAUUCAUAGUUUUGAUGCCUUCAGUGAUAAUCUACAAUGUAAAUAUUCAUAUAAAAAAAUAAAGAAAAGACAUUGAAUGAGAAGGUGUGUCCAAACUUUUGGCCUGUACUGUAUAUAGUUGAACUGUUUAGCUGUGUUCAGGAAGUCGGAGUCACAGGCUCCUCCUGCCAAGUGCUGAAUGAUUCUGUGAUUCAGUGAAUGAAUCUUUUGAACGAAUCUUUUUAGUGAACUGAUUCUAGUGAUUCAGUACAUCUAAAAGAACUCACAAAAGCACUCUGCUUUUGGAGCACCUGUUAAAGGCAGUUGAGAAAGGGCAGCACGUGUCCAAUGACCAUAAAAAUGUCUAAUUGAUUGAUAUGAAAGGAGCAGUUAUGACAGAUAGACACUCCAAAGAGCUAAGAAAAAAAAAGUCAAUUUCCUCCUCUGGGUUAUAUUGCUGUACAAUGGGCCAUUAAGAGGCGUGUGAUAAAAUCUUGGCAGAGCAUAAAACUUUAAAUAUGCAUGGUGCGAAUUGAUGUAGCGUGCUUAUGAGUGAAAAUUGUGUUAUUAACGUUGAAAAUUAGAUGUAAGUAGAAUAAGCUUCAAAAGGCAGUCAUUGGCCCCAUUUGCUGAGGAGUUGUGCAAACAUCCAGGUGUCUAUUUCUAAUCGGAGGGACAUGUGGGAUGAGUCAGCCCUCUCCUCUGCUAUCUCAAACUUGGCUCUGUGAGACAUUCCCAGUAUUAACCAGAGGGUACCGAGGAAGCUGUCAGGAGAUGUUAGGGUCUGAUCACUCACUACAGACAAGAAUUUAGACCCAGUGGGAAACAGAUGAGCAAAGAGACACAGUGGCGGAUGAUGGAGAGCCUAAGUGUUCCUGGCAGGUUAAUAUCUCCAUUAGUAAGCCAUAGAUCGAUCACCAGUGGAAAUAAUAGGUUUACAGAAAAAAAAUCUGUGUAUUUGUGUCCUGUAGGUGAAAAGAAAAUUUGAUCACUUUACUUUUGCAGGCAAAUUAAAAAUUUCAGGCUAUUUUUAACUCACUUUUCCUGCCCCUGAACUAAAUCUACAUGUGUACACACAGUGAGCAUAUUUAAAGAAAAUUCCCAUAUUUGAUCCAAACUAAUAGAUCCAUGUGAGCUUUGAAAAUUCAGCUGAUUUCUGGUGUGAAUUGGAUGUGAUUAAGUUUUGGUUGAUAUAAUAAAAAUAGCACCAUCAUUUCCUUGAACUAAUCAUACAAAAUAGACCCAGUAGUGAAAUGGUGUUGACACCAAGCAUUGGGUUUGUACUUUGAUAACCAAAGUAAUCCAAUUUUAAUGGCAGGUGUCAGCCUGGGGAGUUUACCUCAAUAAUUACAGUAUACAGCACAAGCUAAUGCUAUUAUUUAGUAUUGCAUUCAUGCCUUGGGAACAAAUAGGCACAGUCCAGUGGCAUUACACGUGUUUGCUAAAUGUCAGUGACGGCAUUGAUGGCAGAUGAUUUUGAAACACAAUGCACAUUUACUGAUGAACAUUUUUUAAUUGGCAGGGCCAGUGCCUCUUCCUCUGAAUCAUACCGUGACGACUUAAGCAAAGGGUCUGGUUGUACAAUCGUGGUUGUCAGAUGAGCCAUUGCUCUGUUCUAUCAGUCGGCCUCCUCUUAAUCUCCUUCAGAUGAGUUAAGGUGAUAACUUCCUAAUUUGCAGUUACCCCACUGGUAUCAUAAACUGUAUUGUGUUACAUCGUGAUGGUGGGAUCUCACAGUAUGAGAACUGACAUUUCUACAUCUGUUGGACAUAUAUCUGGAAUUUCUGCCCUGCAAGCAUAAGGUCCAUUGGGUGUAUUAUGUAAAUGGUCAGGAGCAGCAUACAUUUAGAUUUGAUGUGGAUAAAGUUCCUGAAAUCUCAUGAAUAGCCUGAAGCUUUGUCCCUGAUCUACACUACUGAAAGCUUGUCAGCAUUGAUUUCAUGGUUAUCAGUUAAAUAUGAAUUACAGAUGUACAGUCUUUUUUCUGGGAUGCGGUAUUUUACAUCUAAAACACUGUUGCAGGGGGUCGUUUGUUUGUUUGUUUAGCCUCUGCUCUUCCUGUGGACCGAGUGGUCGGCCAUUGUGCACAGUGGCAUCAAUCAACAAGAGUCUCCUGGGUAAUCCUGACCUCGUCUAAGGAGGAAAAAAUGUAACAAGUGUACUUUGGAUUUGUACUUUGAACCAUUUGGAAUAAAUGCAGGAAGUUUUUGUACACAUAGCUUGGCUUGUCUGCCACAUGGGUGAUGUGGCUCCAUGUACAGCGUCCUCAUUCUCUCAGUAAGUUUGCCUAGACAACCUGAUCCUAUUCAGUUGUCUGAAGAACUCUUUGAAUCUCAAAUGAAUGUUUUAAUUUUCCCCUUCCAUUAUGUUAGUUGGGAACAGUAGCUUUGCAUGAUUUGUAGCUCAAAAUACUUCUUAUUUAUUAAGUUAUAUCUUUACAGAAAUUUCAGCCACAAUAACACGUUUCAUUAUUAGCUGCUGCCAUGUUAAAUUACAGUCUUUAUCACAUCCUCAUUAGGUUCUUAUUACACUUGAUGAAAGUAUUUAUCACACCUGAGAAAAGCCUUCAGUGCAUCAUUUUCAAGUUCUAUACAAAGCCCUUGGAAAAGCCUCAUAAUUUUUUUUAUUACACCUCUAUUACACCUUUUAUAAAUCUUUAAUGACACCCUUUGUAAGACCAUUUUUACACCCUUUAUGAAGUCUUUAUCAUACCCUAGAUAAAACAUAAACAACACCCCUUAUUUAAUCUUUAUUACACUCUUUGUGUAGACUUUAGCAUUUCCUACAUAAGACCUUCAUAACACCCUUUAUAAAGCCUUUAUUGCACCUUUUUGAAGGCUUAACAACAUCUAUAAAGUCUUUGUAAUACCAUUUUAAAAGCCCCCAUAAUCACCCUUUAUAACGGCCAUUAAAGAGCAGAAUUAAAACUGGUACAAGAUGUUGUCGCACAUUUUUUGUCUCCGUAUUGCCACAUACAGUAUAUUACUACUUUGAAAAAAAACAACCUUAAAGUUUUUUUACAUUCCUCCUGGUGAAAACUUUAUUACACCUUUUACUUAACCUUCAUAACACCCCUUAAUGUCACCCUAUACCAAGCCGUAACUAAGCCUUUAUCACACGAAUAACUCAGCCUUAUUACACUAUUGAUUCAUACUGGAUUUUGCACUCUUAAUGAAGCCUUUAUUUCACUCAUAAUUAAGGUUUUAUUAAACCAUUAUAACCCCUUUUAUUAAUCCUUCAUUACACUCUUGAUUAAAUCUAAUUAAAGGCAUUCCAAGAUUUUCUUUUGGCAUUUUUGUCUCAAGACUCUGUUAAUUUCUAACAACUCUAACCUAAUUUCUAACGUUUGCAGAUGUUCCUGUGAUACCCUCACCAGUAAAGGCAGCUUGUUAACUUCUGAUAGUUCGUUGAAGUAGUUUGCAAGGCCUAAGAAGCUCAAAAUUUGAAAAGGUAUGCUGCAGGGGUCAAGCUUAAAAACAGUACACUUUGUCAGAAAGUUAAAAUGUGUUUAUAUAAGUAUCGUGCUCUGAUUGCAGACAGAUAUAUCUUACACUGUUUGUUUGACUAUCCCAUGCUUUAUGCGCCCCACUUCCCAACAUUAAAAGCAUAGCUCAGUCCUCCUUCAUGUUCAAUUUUCCACAGCUGCAGUAAACCAACUCAAGCACUCAAAGUAAGUUUUUUUCAUUAUGCAUACAGUGAUUGCCUCUGAAGCCUUUGAAAGCCACUUGGAUGUUUUCCUAUAGGCCUUACUGGUCAUGGUUGUGAUCACAUAUCAUGUCAGGGCCCAUUCUUGGGCAAAAACUCAAUACGCGACUGAGAGGACCAGCUCAGCCUGAUGGGGGAUAAGAAAUAAUGAGGAUCUGAAGUAUCAAAUUACAGCUAAAUAACCAUACAGUGGUAAUCCUUUCAAACAGUUUGUCCUACUCAGCUUGUAAAUAUUUAGAAUCUGUCACAUGAAACUGGAGGCAAAAACUGUGACAGAGUUUUCCCUUUACUCCUCAGAUCCUUAAUGUGAGUCAAAAAUGUAAACUCCUUCGGUGGAAACAGCCACAAACACUUUCUAGAUUUACCCCAGAAAAGACUUAAUCUGACUCAAAGCUCCUGAGAUGUUGUUUGUAGCUGGUUUGGCAGGUAACACACUGAGUCAGUUCCAUUGUUGUGAGUUAUCUACACUUUUUGACGGCAAGGACAAACUGUCUUGUGGAAAGGAAAAAUUCUCAUUUGUCUUUCUGGUUUCAUUGUCAGAAUUAUUAUUUUUUUACUAAAGUUGUCUGGAUUGAUCCUCAGAGGUGCAAAAAUGUAUCUUUUCACCCCAAAUGGACAAAUUGUUUGUAUAUGCAAAAUUUAAAGGCUGUUUCACAACCUGUCUUAUCAGUGGUGUUCUCUGAAAGUAACAGUGGAGAUAAAAUUUGAUUGAUUUCUCUGAAAGUAUUUCACCCAAAUGUGGUAAUGAUUAGCCCUAGAGCUUGGGGUGGUGCUGCUCGGGGUCAAAUUUUGUUUUCUCAAAUCUGAGGCAGAACUGGAAAAGCUGAUUAAAUUUGUUUACUUACUGAAAUGACCAGGGAUCUGCUGGGAAGAGACUGAAAAACACGAUAGAAGAACUAUAUAUAUCUUUCCUUUUUUUUUUUUUUAGUGGAAGGAGUGGAUGUUAGCUCGGGGGGUUAUGUAAAUGAAAGGUUUUGGAUUUUCUGUGAUGCAGGUUGGGAGGAAAGCAUCCUGUCAGUUUGUUUGUGAAAAGUUGUAUUACACAAAAAUGUUCAUUAAAAAACUCAACCCAACAUUGACAAAGAUAAAACCAGGGUAAUUUACUUCAAUAUCUUAAACAUGAAUGUCAGGUUUUGUCAUAAAACAGUCCUAGUGGCAAAUACAAAGAUAGUUGCAGCUAGCAGGUGAAUUAGCGAACAAAUCUGUACUUUUUAAUAGUUUGCAAUCACAGGAGACACACAGUGUGACACUAUUACUCAACAGAGAAGUGUAGAACUGUCUUCACUAGUCUUUCUCUGUCUUCCUUAUCAGUGAAUACCUUUUAUGUUCUUGCAUAACAACGCAGAGACCAUCAUCAAGGUUGACAAGCGAUGUUAACAAGCAUAGAUUCCCGUGUUAGCUGUGCUGCAUUCAUGCUCUCUAAUUUCGUCAGAUAAAUCUUUUGUAGACCAGUUCUUCUCUGCCAAUGCCAAACAGCUUAUUUUGCUGCUGCUACUGACUGUUAUUUGUACCCCCGGGUGCUGACAAUCAGUUGCCUGAUUGACACCCGAUCUGAUUACCUGGUCUGGAUAGGGCUCAUGCGAUAGGGCAGCUUUAUACUGGUGUUACAGAAAACCAAGUUGCACUGCUGUCUGCAAUACGUGCACUGGAGUCUGACCAUGUGGAGGAGCCCUAUGUUAAGCGAUUCUGCUGAUUCUGCCUAGCAGCAGGAUCAUGGGCUCAAAGUAUGGGGAGACGUGGAAAAUGCUAUGCUGAUUGGAGAACCAAUAGAGUAACAUUUUUUGGGGUGAGGCAGUGUGAUGGUGUGAGGUUUUAUCUCUCUCUCUCUUGAAAAGCAAGGCUUGUCAUCAUGAAGUAGUUUUAAUGAAGAGAGAUGUUGAGAUUCUGCCAUCAGUGGCAAUCUCGUAUCUCAACAGUCAUGAAGUGAAGUCUAUCCUCUAAGAUGACUCAGUUUACGCCCACAGAACAGGGUUCAGCAGACAUCACCUGCAUGGGAAUGCUGUUCAUGCCAGAGUGAAUGGGAUGCCAUCCCAGAGCAGUGUAUGACGAUUUUGUGUCACAUGGACUUACUGAGUUAGAAGUGCGUAAAAGACACUCAGUCUGACCCAAAAAACUCUAAAUUAACUUUCUGCUACUCCGUGACUCCACCCCUGCAUAGUCAUGUCCUCUUUUUGGGAAGUCAGAAUGUGGUCACCCUAUACAUGCACCUUAAGUUACUGUUUCUUAAACAAAUAAAUUUUUAAUUUUCUAAUAUGUCCUGUUUUUUCAAGCUUUAAUGAUUUAAUCCACCAAACAACAGUAUAUCUUAAAAACUUACAAAUCAUCCCUCAAAAUAUUCUUCCUGAUUUUCUUAUUUGCUUUCGUAGCUCAUGUAUUAGCAUAACUAGCAAAGUUUUAGCCUGUUUCAUAACCGUCUGUUUGUCUAGUGAUUCUCCUUUCUGCACCUUCCCCUUUCCUUAAGUCCAUAUAGUCACAAUGAUUGGCUGUUUUUCAGUAAGUCAUCUUCUUUUCAAGGUUUCUUUAAGGUUUUUUUUCCUGCUUCUGUUGCCAAAUGUUUCCAAGUUUCCAAUUUUUUUUGCACUCUGCCAUGAAGAAAAGAGAACUUUUCAAUUUAGCCCUGCAACAUUACAGUCUGCCCAGCAAUCCAAAUGUGUGUAAUUAAAUAGAAAAUAUAUCCACCAUAACACAGAAUACAAAGUGAUUGUGGGGGCUGGUAUCCUCCUGAAGUCUCUCCAAUCAGUAUCCAAACUUUGAUUUCUUCUGUUUGUUACUAUUUUAUUGCGUUAAAGCCUGUAACAAGCUCUCAUUUUGUCUUUCUUGUAUGAUGCAAUGUUAAGACUCAGGGAGAAAAUCAAGGGUUGAUGAGGAAAAACUGUAACUUAAUCAUGUGGACGUUUGUUCAGAACAUCUUUUGCUCAUACUUGAUUUGUAGACAAGAAAAACAAAUGUUUCUGCCUUUAUGAUGGCAGACAAUGACAAACAAACGAGCCAUCAAUUGAAUUACCUUUUAUUUUAAUUAGGUAUUAUUAUGCCUAUAUCAUUACCACCAUAUCUUUUCAUCUGUACUCGAGAUGAGACAGCAUAGUCAGCAUCCACAGGACAAGAUUUGUGCUCACUUAAGCCGUAAUGUAUUGAAAGAGGGAUAGCUAAUGCUGGAACAGGAUGUCUGGCCUGAGGCAUUAGGCUAGCAGGCCACAUUAGGAACUCUUUAUAUAACUUUAUUGUUAUUAAAUGUUUGACAAACACUGGUUGACAAAUUGUCAUCGGGAAUAGAAGAUGAAAAAAGUUGAUACCACUAUUUUUCUGUUUUAAAUAUGACGCUCAUUUGCAGAUAUUAAGCUUGAGACUGGUGCUCUUUGGUACUUCUGUUCGUGUUUUCCUUCUGGAUAAAAACUGAAGUCACAUUUGUUCCUUUGAAUGACUAGUUGCAACCAGGUAAAACAUUUAUUAAUCAUUCUUAACUUGCCAAAUAAGAGAAAACUAAACUAAACUCUGCCAAAGGUAACACCUGCUGUUAACCAGCACCGCAACGACAACUGAUUUAUGCAUUGCAUUGGGUUGGUUUGAUGUGAAGUGGUGGCCAAGAAACAGCCAUCUGUAUGCCUUCACAGCCAACUCAAUGUCACUGCUGAUGGGUGUUUGCCAGUUAGCUCCAGUUGGUCCAUUAGCCUUGUUGAAGAAUGGCUGCAAACCAACGACUGCACAGCCUCAGUGACAUUCACAAGUCCUCAUAUCAUUCCUUUUGAAGUCCUACACCAACCUGUUUAGUCCAUUGCCUCACCUCCAUCCUCGUUUCCAGGGACAGGGUUGGCUCCAGUUAGAUGGGCUGUCUUGUGGCCUCAGAGACCAGGGGGCAGGUGUUGUUAUUUCUCUCUAUGUAAAUCGGCUAAGAAGGACAUCAAAGAACCUGGAGUUAAAACUUGAUGCCUUGGGGGGGGGGGGGAUAUACUUCCAGUUGUCCUGCCAGGUGACACUCUGCUGCAUUGCCUGUUUCCAUUUUAUCCUGGGAACCUGCUGUUGCAGAACAAUUGUCCUGCUUACUUGUUAUUCCUCCACAUAAGUGCCCCAUAAGCUUGCACCUAUCCUCCCUGCUGGCUGUGUUAUAUUGGGGGUGAUGUUGUACUCCUUUACACAGUCGUGUGCUGUUCCACAUCCUCAAAAGGAUCUUAUUCUUUGGCAAAGAUUCUGCCUUUCAAACAACCCUCUCUCGUUACAGUAAUCCCUAUACCUGACUGGCGGCAUUUCCACUACCUGAUAUCUGAUGUUAUUUUAUUUUAACAGAUUUAAUAAUUUUAUAUUGCAUUUUUAAAUUGUUUUUAUACUUCUUUUUUCAAUUCAAAUAUAUUUCCUUGCAUCUGUAAAGCACUUUGAAUUGCCUUGUGCAUGAAUGGUGCUAUACAAAUAAACUUACCAUGCCUCCUUAGUGAGCCUUGAUUUAGUGUGAAAGAUUUUUUUAUGUCUGUGCAACUUUGAGUUUAUGUUUCUCUUGCUUUACAUUUCAGAUAAAACAUACAUGAGUAUAUAUCCGCCUUCUUAUCUUGGCAGGAAGGUGAAUAUUUGUGUUCAUUAGAUGUUACAUGGCUUCUUCGAUCACGAAAGAUAAAUAUUCUUACCUGCUGCUAAAUUCACCCUGCACUUAGUCUAACAUUUCUCUUUGCCCAAAAAAUUGGAUGAUUUUAACUCACCGAGACAGAUGCUGAGAUAAAACUGCCUCUGAGUUGUGAGGGAUACACAUGGGCAGAGUUAUGUUCACCACAUGUAACAGAUCUAGAGAUUUCACUGAAGAUUAAACACUCACUCCUAAAAUGGAAGCUGUAAAUUCAAUUUUCCUGUUAAAAUUUAAUCAGCCUAAAAUGUCAAGGAGCUUGCCAUUGAUCACUCAGAAUCUUAUUUUAGCAGAUAUUUGACCAAAAGAAAAAUCCUUCCUCUGAAUUACCAUCGGAGAACAGAUCUAGGAAUCAAAUAUGAAAGUACAUCUGUGUAUUUCAGGAGAAAACGUUUCCAGCAGAUUUCUGUCUGUAUGCAGGACAUAGUUAUUUAAAAUACAUUCAUGACACAUGGACUAAACGGUUAUUAUUACUUUUGAACAGCUCAUAUUUGUUUUAUCUUUGAAGGUUUUAAAAAAAGCAUGCUUUACACACAUUUUGUUAGAAAAUAAAGGACUAUCGUUUUAGAUUAGAUUUGAUUAUAUUAGAUUGGAGUUGGGUUCAGAUCAACUUUUCAAACCACAGGUAUGCCUUACAUUUAUUCAACACACAUAGAAUAUUUCCAUUUAAAGUCAUAAUGCAACCUCAAAAAUAUAUUUUUUUGGCACUAAAAAGUUGAGUUGUUGAGUGUUGGAACAGGCAGAUAUAAAAUAUGAAGUGUUGUCAUAAAUGCAGGUUAAAAGCUGCACAUGGGAAAUGUAACAGAGUAUCUGGGAUCAAAAUGUUAAGAAAACACACAUGUUGUGAUAACAGACACUUUUCUUGCAUGUAUGCUUAUCAACCCACAGCUGUCAUCACGUUCAAAGAAAGAUACGAGUGAUUUAUUUUCCACAGCUUUUACAUGCACUUGGUCUGGGUCAACAAAACACCCACUCUUCCCAUUUUGGUUAUGGUCUGACUCUGAGGAAAACAUGAAAAAGUAUUAUGGGGCAAGGUAAAAUUAGACUGACAUGCAUCAAAGCACUGAUAAAAAAAGAGGAACAUUGCAAGUGAUGCAGUUUUAGGAACAGGAUGUCGAAUCAGGUUUUGCAAAACUUUUUACAAAGUCUACACACUGUUGUGUAGACACUAGGGUUUCUUUAGGGGUGAGUUUGGGGCUGCAAUGUCCAAAAGGGAGGUGUAAUUGUACUGAACAGUGUUAUUCUGAUUCAACAAGUAUGCUUUCUUAAACAAAUACUUGUGAAAGUUGUGGGCUAGGAGGAAUCAAAGGUUUAACAAGGACGAAUUGAAAAUAAUCACCCUUGCUUUGCUUGCAUACCAGUUUCUGGUCAGUUAGACAAAAUAAUAUGAUUUUCAUUAUUGUGGGACCAAAAUACUGGUCUUAAGUUGUAAAGAUCUAGGACCCACCCACCUCUAAAACCAGGCUGUAGCUUUGCUUAAUGGCAACUGCUGUAGUGCUACAAAACUUAACUACCUGUAUGAAAAAAGCAUGGAUAGCAGAUGACUCUGUGCAGCAGUCAUCCACUCCACUUCUUGUGUUUAACUAUGUUAGAUGAAUUGUGCUCAACUGUUUUUUUAAAGGUUUUUUUUUUCUUACCUUUGGACUUAUCAGUCAGGGUCUUAAAUCUAAUGCAUCUAUUCUAACGUCAGGCUGCUGCUGUCUGGAUUAAAUGUGCAGGCAGGGGGGCUGUCAACAAGAAGUUGCAGUAGUCAAUGUAUGAUAUUACAAGAACCUGUACCAUGAGCAGUGUGGUAGAAUGUUAAUUUUGGUGUGUUAGACAGGCUGGUUUGUCAUUAGCCAAGCAAUUAUGGUCAUAUGAACCUUGACAGAGCUUCCCAUUAAUUUUGUAUUUGUAUUUGUUUAUUUAGCACAGAUUAAAAACAGUGCAGGGAGGGAACGAAGCCGAUAGUCUUAUACAAAGUUCCACUCCAGUCAGGACAGAGAAAACAUAAGGUGCAGACAACUAAGUACAUAGACAGGUUACACAUGUACAAUGAUUAGGGAAAGGUCAAACAAGUUGCCAUAAAUGGAACACAGACAAAUCAGCAAACAGUGAUAAAGACAAUAAAGUAUUCAUAAAAAGGAAAGAAACAUGAUCAUAACAAAUAGUGAUGUAUUUAAGACAUAAUUAGUUGAGAUUUUAAUGAUAUUUUAAAGGAGUUAAAGGAUGAUAUUGAUUUCAGAGAUGCAUCAAGAUUAUAAUCAUGGCAUCCAAGUUGCAAGCAGACUUAGCGGGCACGUUCUGUUUAAUCAAGCUGCAUUUCGAUCUGUGGUUGUAUAGGAGAACUGUCUGUAUUACCAAGAGGCUCAUCAGUUUUACCAUCUAAUGGAAAUGACAAGAAGAGCUGUAAAUUUUAGAGCUGUAGGAGAAACCAUGGUAGUGAAUUAAUGAACCAAGCGAGGUGAUGAAUACUGAGGUAAAGAAGAGAACCAAGUUUUGACCUUUGAGGCACUCCUGUUGACAAGCCAUGCAGUUUGGACACUCGUACCCUCUAUGAUAUGCUGUAAGAUUUCCCUGUGAUAGAACAUAAACCACUUUAGGGGCCGAUUUAGAGACACUAAGAUCAGAAAGUGUAGGGAGGGAGAUUUGGUUCAAAGUCAGCUAAUGGAUCCAGCAGCAAUAGAACUGGGACCAGACCAGCAGUUCUAGCCAGCUGCAGUGAUUAUUGACAGAAGUGAACUUUCAGCAGAGUGACCCUGCUGAGAGUCAAGCGUUUUUGGAUCAAAUAGGUCAUUUCUGUACAGGAAUUUAGAGACCUGAUCAAAGAGUGCACAGUCAAGAAUUUUGACAGUAAAGACAGAAGUGAAACUGAUUUGUAGUUUUCAACCUUGGCUGAGUUGAAAGAGGGUUUUUCUGAGCAGUCAGGUAACCUGCACUUGCUUGAAUCAACUAAAUGUGGGCAAAAUAAUGUGGAAGAGACUUGAAGGUAUUGGGUCGAGUGGACAGAUAGAGGGCUAAGUGUCAUGCACCAGAGUUUUAAUAAAAGGAAGCACAGAUUUUUGGAAGCACAGAUCUUGCUUUGUCAGUAUGUGGUAGUAUGUUAUCUUCACGGUCUUCAGAUUGAAACAGAAUGAGGCGUUUGAUGAUUGAGCGACAAAGAGAGAAUGGAGUAAAUUUAGACUGUUCACUGACUUAAAUGACUGACCCUUGCCCUUUUUUCAUCUUGGCUGACUUCAGUGAGUUUAUGACGGCUUGGAUGCCUUCGGGGCACAGUGUCUCUCUCAACAGAGAGUGAGGACAACUCACGAUGAGGAUUUGAAACAUGUUGAUGUAAUCCUGAUAUUCACAGGCAUUCAAGCAACUAGUACUUACAUACAGCGCUCAAGUUUGUUCAAAAUUGAUGUGUUGCCACCAUAGCAACUUUAAGAGCUUAUUUUGCAAAGACAUUUUGUUUUCAAGCUUUUGGCAUGGCUUCAGGGAUGUCAGGGCAAGUCUUUUGUUGACGCACAACUUUAGUCCAGACUGAAAAACUCGACAGCCACUGGAUGGAUUAAGAUAAAUUUUUGUCCAGUGCCUUGAGAAUGUCUGUUGCGUAGAGAUUAACACCUCAAAGACACUUUGGUAGAUAGCUUUGGUGUAUAAACAGUAUUUGUGGACCAAAGGAUUUCGAACUGACUGUCUGAAAUUCCCGGUCGGCUCAGUUGAUGCCUCUCAGAGCUCCAUUACAAAAGGGAAAUCCUCCUGCUCUUUAACAUUCACCGCCUGCAGAUUUCUUAUGAAUGUAGCCUCCAUACUUUUUUAAUUUUACAUGCUCCCAGUCUGAUCAGUAAACACAAUAUCUUAUUUCAUUGGUACAAAACACAGAUAUGACUGAAACCAAGUGAAAUGCCAAGAAAUGUUGCAGUAAUUUACUUUAGACAAUAUGACAAAAUGGGCCACUUCACUGUAUGAAUCAGGUUUAACUUAAAACAUAAUGAAAUGCACUCACUGUGGAGCUUCAGAGGCCACAUGUUUUCUUUUUCUUGUACAAGGCACAGUGUAUGAAAAAGAAACAGUUACCUCUCAUAUUUGUAUUUGUUAGUUUUUGUUCUUUUUAAAUAUGAAACUGUCAUGCUGCCAGUGUGGGAAAAUGUACAUUUUAACAUGAACAAGUACAUUGAGUAAGAAGGACUGUGGUUGGUAAACAACAGUUUUCACCGUUUUAAGAACAGUUAUCCACCAAAAACCACCCUUAGCAGUAAUAAUAUAUUCACCUGUGUAUUGAAAGUUGUAACCAUUACUUUUGCUAGAGUUUUUAAAAUGAAAAAAAAAGGAAAGCUUGAAAGAAGAUAAACUUUCCUGAAAUCUGUUCUAUUCUGAGAUUUCACUCAUGUGAUGUGGAGUUCAAGGUGUAAGCUGCUCAAGGCCAUCUCUGUGCGAUCUUAAACUCUUCCCUAUGUCGAUUAUGUAAUAUACAUUCCCACAUUUCAUAGAGCAGAAUACACCGCUCCAUAUGUCUCUACAACUCCAGUACUUUUUAUCCUGGCUCACACCUUCAUCACAUCUUAUGCAGGCUCAUUCCCUUCUGAUGUAACUUCUUGGACAUAAUGUACACUCUGUCCACACUGUUGUUAUUCUCACCAUGAUUUUGGUCUAUUUGUGUUUAAUGGGAUGCAACUUUUUCAGAUAUUUACGUAUCCCUUGAACUUUUUGAAGUUUACGAAAUGUUUGUGUGUGAGUAAAACUUUUAUUUAUAAUGGUAUUAAUUUGCCUCUGUGUCACCCUGAGUGUCUUUAUUUCCUACUUUGAUGAUUUAAAAAUACUUAUUUUGAAAGGGCACUCAAGGUUCUUCUGCGAGAAAAAUUAUGAUCAUAGAUGGAACAAACUAAGAUAAUAAUAAUGAAAUAAAAUAUAUACUUGCACCUGAGAUCUCUUAUUCUCUUUGUUACCUACAGAGCAGGUGUGGAGAUACUACUCAAAACACAUGUGCCAGGACAAUAGAAGCAGAAGAACUUUAUCGAUCCCUGAAGGGAAAUUCAAUUGUCUGUAGUCUCACGAGUCAACUAGUAAUUAGUGCAGUCCUAUAAUAUCCUUUGUCAGCCUACCCAUGUAAUGUCAACAUGUUAAAAAUACUGACAGUAAAUCCUCAACUGCAAAAUCUCCAUCUUCCUCUUUUCAGGUACAGAUGUAAAAGACGUAAUGAUGUCAAUGAAAGGAAAGAAAAAAGCAAUGCUUAGGCACAAUAUUAAUACUCUUGAACAUAAAACCAGAGAAAAUCAGCAUUAAAAACAAAAGGCUUUCCGAUCCAAUCCAAUCUGCUUUAUUUAUACAGCACAAUUAAAAAAACAUUGAAGUUUACCAAAGUGCUGCACAGUAAAAUUAAAAGAAAAAAAAAAAGAUAAAUUAAAAAAACAUCAAGAGGAAAUAAAUAAAAGCAGGUAAAAAACAUUUAGAAUGAAAAUAAAUGAAAUAAAAUCACAAAAGCAUAAAAAAAGUGAUGAUAAAAUGACUAUAAAAGACAUAAAACGACAGAGAUCGCACAACUCUAAUGCUGAACUAAAAGCCAAGGAAUGAAAAUGAGUGUGUACUGUUCAUAAAAAUGGACCAGCAAGUAUCCACAAGACUGGAAGCCAUACGAUCCAGAGCUCCCCCUGGUGAAUGGCUGCAUUAUAGGUCAUAAACCCCGCCUCCCUAGUGUAAACAGACACAUCUCUUUCAAAUAUGGUUCAUGCCAUGAUAGCAAAUGUGAUGUCAUGAUUGACGGCUCUGUUGAUAACUGCAGGCUAUUGCAGCAAUGUGCUCCAUAUUAGUCAUUGAACUUUCCGUAACAGUGAGUGUCUGCUUCGAAUCAAUUCAAGAAUCAGUUCUGUACUGACCUGAGGGAUCUUAAACAUUUUGUUGGUAAGUGUGGAGAGAAUGUGGGUUUGUGUUGAGGGUGUGAUGCCAGUCUCAUGCCCCUACCAGCCAGGUUGCUUCUACCUGUGCCCGGGUUUCACCAGCCUGAUUUUGUGCACCCAUGGAGUGGAUCUUUUGGUUUUAAGCUUACAAUAUGCAGAACUAAAUCAUUGUGAACCCUAGUCUAGUUAAAAUUAAGGUGUUGCUUGAGCAUCAGGUAAGGCAUGAAAAUAUUUACAUUCCAGUGUUUAUGAAUGACACAAGGGCGAAUGCAGUGUCCCUUAAAUCAAGUUUGACAAGGCUAAACCUCUAAAUGUUUUUACUCAGUGGGAGUAUAACCCCAUGUCAAGUCUAAUUGACCCUAAAUAUACAAAACAGGUUUUAUGAUCACAUCUGUGCGUAAGGUUAAACAGCACAGGAAACUACAGUUUUAACAAACUAUCCAAACAUCUUCUGAUGCUCUGAAGGACCUCUCUACUGCACCUUACCUGGUAGAGAAAUGAAGGUGCCCUUAUUUGACAGACUCACAUCAGAGUUACACUGCUACAAAAAGGACCAAAAGGUAGCAUGCAAGCCUGAUGUUUGCAUACAUGUCAGUGAUUUUCUGUUGAUUGAGCUCAGCUGCAGAUGUUACGGUGCUGCUUGUAUGCUAUCCUCUUAGUGAAAUGCCAAGGGGCCAAUGGUACACACUGUUGUCUUAUGGAUUCCCUGUGGACUUUGGCUCUUAUCUCUGUUACUUGAAAUUGUGUCCAUAUGUUAGAGAGGCUGCUGAAAUGUUCACUUUAAAGCAACAAGAGAUUACAGUUUUCUUAAUGGUGGAAAAAUUUUAGUUCAAGUGUCAGAAGCACAGACUUUCUCUUUCUAUCAUCUGUUAAAACAAUUAAAUUCAGUUUAACUGUUCAGCGCACAGGCUGUUGGAGUGAGUGAAUUUAGUUUUGACAUUAUUAUAACUUGAAUUCACUCAUAAAUCUGUGUUUGUGCUUGCAAAGGCCAACUUUUGCGUAUGAACAUUCAGUCUUUCUUAUGAAAUGAUUUAUUUUGGGUGGCUUGCACAUUGUGGCGUUUUCCCCAUAGAAGACAGGUCAGAUUGAAUAUGAGAUAUUUUUUUGUUGUAACUAAUAAGAUUUACUAUCUUCAACAAACACUUUUGUUCCCAUUGGAGGUUUGGGCCAAGGAUGAGGUUACCUCUUUCCACAAACUGUAAUUUUUUUCCAAAACAUUUCCACUUAAAUUAAAAUCUUAUUUUCUAGGAAAUGAUGUUUUUAAGAAUACAAUCAGACUGCAGGCAAAAGUGGCACACAACCGAUUUAUUUGCUCAUUCUUGAUCCGAUUUGCGACUGUUCAAACAGCAUAAAUCCGUCCAAAUCUAAAUCAUAUGUGGUCCUAAAUCAAAUACAGGUCCAACCACUGUCUUGAUAGCCAGGGCAGAAUGGAUGCGACUCUGACAUCAUUCUAAAUAGUCACCACAGUAAUGCACUAGCGGGACAGACAGAAUUCAAGGUCACUUGCACUCAAAAGCUGUCAAUAAGAAUCUGAAUCUCUUUGCCCUCUGCCCUCUCCUCACUGUUAUCUGUUCAUAAAUUUGCCUGCUUUUGCUCCACAUAAAUUUUGGAAUUAAAUUUUGAAUUGCUAUUGGCAAAUAUAUUUUUUUCCAUUAUCUCAGACAUGUAAUCUUUUUUCACGUACCAUUUCUAAGAAACUGAAGACAUAAUGAACAUCAUUCCACUACUAUUGCCAUGUCCAAGACCGAGACCACACUGCAAUCUGGGACAGGUCACAUUUCAAAAGUAAUGUGGACAUCCCAAAAUAUAAAAAAUUAAAUUAAAUGAAUAAAAAAUUUUAAAAGUGUUUUUUGAGAAAUGAUCCUGAAUUGUGCAGUAAGGUUUAAAGGUAAUACAUCGUCAUAUACUUUUAACUCACACAUGCAGCAGUGCACAUCUACAAUUAAUAUUGUCACAAACCUUGUUAGCAGUUUUGAAAAGCCAUGUUGCAGAUGAAACAAGCUAAAAAACAAGCUAACAAGUGACACCACUUUGAAACCUUACAGUAUAUAGAAAUAAGUGAACUUGAUUUACAGGAAAAUUUUGAAAAUUCCAUAACUCAGAAAUCAUUAAUUGUAGUAUCUAGUUAUACAUUUUCAGUUGCACUGAUUUUCUGGGAUACUUUAAGAGCCCGAUAUGUAACAAUGACCUAAAAUGGCAUAAAAACAAUGCAAUAAAGCCCAAAAUGUAAUAAUUUGUCAAUAAUGUAACAAAAAUGUUGAGCUGUAAAUAUAAUUAAAGAAUGUAACAAAAACCAAAAUGUAAUAAUUUACCCAAAAUGUAACAAUUUGCCACAUUUUUGGCCAAAAGUUAUUACGUUUUGGAUUCAGCAUCUUGUUACAUUAUUGACCAGUUACUACAUUGAAAUUCUAAUGAAAAAAUUUUACUACACUUUUUAAAAUUAGUUUUAUUACACUUCAAUUACAUUUCGGGUCAUUGUUACAUAUUGGGCUUGAACAAGUCUAAUUAUAUUGUGUUAACUAUGGUUCUUGUUUAACCACACUAGAAAAUGUAUCAGUUGCCUAUGACAGAAAGUGUUUGCAGUUCACAAGCUUAUUCUGAAAUGUAAAAAAAAAGAUUCACCAGAGAGAAGUGGUUAGCAUCUGUAAAACAACCUUUAAACAUGUCAGACAUACAACAGACACAUUUAAGUGAAAGAAGAUCAUAUUCUGGAGACAGUGUUUGUUUUGGUUGGCAAUGUUCUCACAAACCGUGUGUUAGUCACGCUAACAUGAUUUAGUUCUGCAUGUGAUUUCUGACCCCUUCCACCACUUCACACAUGCUUCAGGUUAGGAACAGGAGAGUGACUGCUGGUUUAUACCUGUGUGAAUGCACACAAACCACAAGGCAGCUGUACCAACACACUGGUGUCUUAUCCUUGUGUUGGGCUGACCCUCGUGUGCUCAGGAAUCCACGCAGCGGGGUGCCUUAAAACUUACAUCACCAAGUCAAGGGACUGUCACAACAUGCCAAAUAUAUUUCAAAAUGAACUGAUUGAGUAUGAGGAUGCAUAGCCUACAGGCAUCAAGAAUGGCUGAAUCAGUGUCAGAGGGAGUUUAUGUGUGGUCACUGGAUAUGUGCCGCUUUUACCAGUUUCUCUCUGAACCCUUCACUGGGAUACUCAUCUGUUUUUUGUCAAGGUGUUUGUGUAAAGCAAAAUAUUUAAAACACAUUUUCCACUUCUCUAUCUGUUUUCACCCUGAUGGUGCCCACAUGUUAUUUCAGGAGUGUAUUACAAAAAAACAACAAGAGAAUGUUAGGUAUGUUGUGAUUUGAAAAUAAGGUUCACUUUUUAAUCAUAAUUUUAAUAAGAAUCAUUUAGGUGGUGAAAAUAUUUCUUAACAAUCAAUGGGUAUGUGCAAUUUUGUCAUGACACUCUGACAGGACUCUUACCAACAAAAUAGGACCUUCGGGCGUUUGACAUCAAGUUAGACUUCUUUUUCUGUUCAGAUUUAGCCGUUUUAGCUAACCCACAUCAGUGCUUUCCAUUCAUUGUAAACACAAAGGACAGAGUGUAAAGAAGAAUUACUGAGCCGACUGACAAGGCACAGGCCAAGGGGUUAAAGGGGUCAGGGGGACCUUAAGACCAGAGCAUCUGCUCAAAGUGCCUGCUAAUAUUUCAUUUCAGUAAGUCAAUGAAUCAAUGCAAAGUGACAACAUCAGGUUGCAAAACCAGAAUAAAGACAUUGAAAACAACCACAUAGAAAUAACAAAACUACAGGGAGAUACAUACUAUAAAAAAAACUAAAAAUUAAUGCUUAACCACAGAGGCAAAUAAUAGAAAAAAAACAGGGAGAUGCACUGUGUUGGUGUUGAGAGGGGGGAUGGACCCUCUAUCUGUAUUUGCCCAUCUCAAAGGAUGUAGCCAUGAAUUUCUCUGCUGAGCUAUUAGUGACUCAUAGAUGUAAUUAAACAAACAAACUUACGCAAAGAAAGCUCUGCUCUGGGAACACCAGUGAGUCAGCUGAAAGCGUCUUCAGUGUGGGAAAAUUAUGACCGUUGUGUGACCCAAUCAUGCCCACAUGUUUUCAGAUGAGAAAGAAGCUUUACCAGCCUGUUAAUGUGGACAGUAUUUAAGUGGAAAAAAAAAAAAAAAACUCAGCGCUUGGUUUUUAUAUUAUCUUACAGUUGGAGUAGGAGGUAGUAAGUCAUAUAUAUAUAUAUAUAUAUAUAUAUAUAUAUAUGUAUAAAGCCCAAGUGUAAUAUUUGACCAGUUGGCUGCAGUUUGAGAAAGAUGCUUUACUAAGGUCGCUUUCACACCUGACCAAGCGGACUUGGUUUGUUUGGGGAGCUGAAAGUUGCAACAUUUAUCACUUGUUUCGGUUCUGCUUUCACACUAUGAUUUCUAAAGCGCACCAAACUUUGCGAGCAGCAUCACGUGGUUGAAAGGGGCCCUCGUCGAUUGGACAAAGUAGGAGGGGUAUGUAACCUCAUGGAUUACAAACAGGGGUGGACUAGCCGUCUUGUAUCGUGCUUCAUCACAUUAUUUUAUGGAACGCUGCAACGUUAGUGAGCGCAACUGUUCCUAUAAUGCUAUCGUAGCUUGUCAGAGAUUGAUCCUGUUAUUUUUCUAACUUUGACGAUCUAACGUGACGACAUACGAGCUCAGAGUUUAAGGACUGUGACUGUUGGCAGUUGUGACUUGAUUUUGUUUAAAUACGCUAAAUUGUGAAUUUAUGGUUUAUUGUUGUUCAGACAAUUGAGCUAAGCUAGCUAGCAACUGCUAAUGUCAGCGGUUGCUAUGGCAACAAGGUAUGCUGUGCUUCCUCUACCCAAGAUGCACUGCAUAUAGCGUCAUUAUGUACAUUUGGUCCGGUGAGCUUUCACACUGCAUACGAACCGAACCAGGGUUCACUUGCAAGCGAAACCAAGACACGUUUUCAGACGGACCAGAGUUCGCUUGUUUGGUCCGCACCAGAGUUCGGAUGAGCUUUCACACCUCCCCAAACGAAGCAGACUAUCCGAGGAAACGAACUGUGGUCCGUUUAAAGCGGACCAAACAGCUCUGGUGUGAAAGCGACCUUAAUGUAGUUUUAUACAGACCAUACAGAUGCUUACGUUGGUGCAUUUUGGUCUCUGCUGUUUGGAUCCGCUAGUUGCUGAUUUAAUUUGACUACUGCUUUAUGUUCAUUAUAAGGUACUAAAGCAAGAAGCAUCCAACAAUAUUGAAAAAUUCCGCAGAUUUGGAGUGCAAAAAAACUGCAGUUCACUGAGGCUUUACUUGAGGUUGGCUUCAGAUGAUACCAAGGGAUAAACUUAAGUUUAAGCAGUUUUAAAAAGCCUGGUUCAAAAUAUGUUUGGGCUAAAAAGUUCAUUUAUUUAUUUGUGGACACUGUUCUGAUUUGAAGUUAAGAGUUUUAAAUUCACUUGUAUGAUAAGGGCCAUGACUAAGUUGACAGCCAGGUGGGCUUGUUGUAGUCAAGCACCAACUUCUGUUCUUGAAAAAUGGAGCUGUGAUGUGUAAGUGCUAAAAACUUCAGUUCCCAAGUGCCCACUCGUGACUGGCUGCAGAAGCACUAGAAACUACGCUCACACUGAAUCAAAAAAGCCCUCUUUUAGAGCAAAACUAAACACAUUUACAACUUAGCUCAAAAAGCAGCUUUGUAUCACAAAGUGUUUUAAAGUUAUUCAGGAUAAGAGAUCAACGAAUCAGAGGAUUUUAUGACUUGACUGACAAGCAGCCGCACUGUGCAUGAAGUCUACAGAGAGAGCAGCUGAAACAAAGCAUUUUAGAUGUAGGCUAAAAUAAUAGUAUUUCAGUUCACCAGUACGAGAAAGACAAGGCUUAUUUUUAAUCUGAAAACCAUGUAACACUUUUAAAGAGGUAUCAGAAAGGAAAUGUAGAGUGAAAAAAAUACAUGAUACCCCCUUUUUAAAGGGAUAUUCUGUGCAGCAGAGUUUCGCAGCUUAAGGAGGAACAUUUAUGAUCUUUACUUCACAGAAAUGCAAUCAGACCAAGAUGCUAAGGCAGAAGAACUACCGCGUCUGCAGUGCAAAAUGAUAUUUAUGACGAUUAUUACUUCAUGGAAAUGAUCUGCUUCACUCGGUGAUCGACUCGUCAGGGCUCCCCCAUGAACAAGCAGCUGCUGGAAGAGAGUGGGUGAGUUGUCUUUGGUCUCUUUGCUAAAGAAAUCAGGCAAAGCUAAAAAGAUGUUUGGUGGCUAGUACUAUGGCUAGGACCCUAUAUGUACUGAUGAUGGAGUUAGGUGCUGUUCUGAGCAUUAUUUGUGGCUAUAGAGUGGCUUUUUGGUUGAGGUUUGCACGUGGAGUGACAGACCGCCAUGUAUUGCUAUCGUGCAGUCGUUACUAAAGUUGGUAUAACUAGAGAAGCAAGCAGUCGGCAACAUUCAUCUCUCGAGGGGGUGUCUAACUUGACCCUAACUUAAUUUUACAUUGGUAUGUCUCUUUGAGGUAAAUUCUCUCUGAUGUUAUGACUGAAACCUUUUGAAACACAUUCACAGAACAUAUCACAAUUUGUUGAUGAUCAUACUAUUACGUUUUUUUUUUGUGCUGUUUCACUUUAGGUAUGUGCACAACAGCGAAGAGAGCCAAUCCUCUAUAAGGUUUGCCAGCUGCUGCAGUAUAGAAUCAGAGUUCAUAACAACUUAAUGCAAUGCUCAGUAUGUGUUCCUCAAAACAGGAAUUAAUUGGCCUGCGGUGCAUGAUACCAUUCAAUAAUGUAUUACAUAAGAGUUUGACACCUUAUAUUGCUUUACAUGUAAGCAGCUGAUAGGUCAGUGAUGUCCACAAAUGCUCUAGAGUGAAUGAUAAACACUGCCCAGCCAUUUGGCUUUGAGCCAGCCUGAGGCCAAAACAAACGAAGUUUCUGCUCGGGGCCUUGCAGUCACUUAUAGAUGAGUAUGACCAUCCACAAGGACAUGAUUCAGUUUAGUAUUUCUAUGUGAACUUAGCUAGGACAAGUGGUGACAGCUCACACGUAGGCACCAUUCAAUAUUGAGCUAAAUAAAAAUAUGUCUGUCAAUAGCAACACAGUCUUGACGUGGGUGUUGGUGCUGUUCUGGAGUGAAAGUUGUUCCAUGUAUUUUGUCCUAGUUAUUUCGCUCUGUCUCCUUCUCUCUCUGCACACCUGCCCCGGAACUGCAAUCAACACACCUGCCUGCCAUCAAGCUAUCACCACCUCCUACAAGAACCCUGUGCUGCCAGAUUGUUGUGCAGAACUUGAUAAGUCUACGGUCCUCUGUGUGCCGUCCAGGUAUAUUUCGGUUUUCUGCUCACCUGAUUUGCAUUCAUGCUUGUUUUGCCUGCUUCCCCCUCGUCUCAUACCUGUUCUCCCUCCGGUCUGCCAGCCUGUCUCACCACUUCACCACAUCCACCUGCCAGCCACCUUUCGCCUGGGUUACUUUCCAUCUCUCCAGCUCACCCCCAGCUCUCUUCACUACACCUCCUGCCAGAAUUUCUAAUUAACAGCACUUUUACUUUUAUGUCAGGCUAUUUUUGCCAGUACUCUUAUUAUUAAUUUAAGCAAAUACCCAAAUCUUGUCUGACAGCAAGUUCUAGGUUCAUAUAGCGAAAAUACAAGGUGUAGCCGCACAUUGUCAAAUUUACUCGAACUCACUGAUGGUUGGAUUAUCCCUUCAAAGAACUAAGACAUUAAAUAAGGUAUUCAAUUAUUCAACAUGAUGAAAAUCAAGUCUCUUUUGGGCAAUUUUUCAGUUAUACCAUUUGGAUCUAUGGCAAAGGAUCAUCAUUCAAGCGUAGCAUCUACUGAAUGACAAAUUGCUUUGGUCCAUUUAAUAAUUUCUUUAAUGUUUAGAUAGUUGCAUGUAGCCUCUCUUUACCGUCAGCUUAGUUUAUGAGUGCUUUACAUCAAGGCUGUCAGUCUCUGCAGCUGUAGCAGGAAAAAACACAGAUUUAUGUUGUGAUAUUUUAUUCUGUAAGAACCAGUCAUCUGCCAGCAUGACUGCUCAGAUUGCAUCUAUCACUCAAACACAACAAGACAUCUUUCAUGAGGCCUAUUUGGCUGAACGGCUGAACAAUAAUGCAGCACCUGCAAGUCUUCAACUGUCUGUGUCACAUAAAUCAAAAAGAGCAAACGUUUUUUUUUUUUUUUUUAACCCUCCAUGUGAUGUCCGCCUAUUCAUCGUACUCUUGAGGACAAUGAAUCAUUUUCUCCACGAGCAGAACAAAACAUCCUGCUUUUUAAUGGCUGGACAAAAAAGACACGUAGUCGAGUGACGAACAGGCUGAUGUGUUAAGGAUGUUGUAUGGUGAGCUGUGUAAACAGAUUGGAACUGCAAUAGGGUGAGAAGGACUGCAAUAAACAGGAAAUGGAUAACAGAUUUUUAGAUAGUUUUUAAAAAAUUUGAGCUACAUCCAUACUUUAAGUCAACUGUGUAGCUGUUCUUUUUCUCUUCUUUUUUUUUACUGAAGAGUGAAGAAAUCUGUGACAUUUUGUGCUCUUUAAAUGAAGUAAUAUUAAAAUCAUCCCCCAUAUGUUUACCAAUUUAACAUGCCAGUGAAAACUGACAUUUAUUGACCAUAGAUUCAAUAAAGCAGAGGUGAAAUAUGCUCGACUGUUUUCUGCAGAAAAAGUGAGAUAGAGCUGUAUCUGGCAGUGGUAUGCUCUUCUAAGUAACAUUUACUAUCAAAGAAAAUAACCGACUGUUGCUAUGGAGUGUUGACCAAUCAGAACAAAGUAAUUGACUUGGCUUAAAUAACAUAAACUGAUAGGAUACCAAUGUUAGUUAUGAGGCUUUUGGCAACAUAUUAAGACAAAAUAAUGUUUCUAUUUUGAGAACAAGCAGGUCAGAUUAUUCAGCAAACAGAAAAUAUGACGGACCCUAAAUUUGAUAUUGGUAAAUACACAGAGAAGCAUAUUGUAUAUAUAGUUUAUAUAUUUUAUAUCUUUAAACAAACAAACAAAAAACAGCCACUACUUUGCAUCAGUCUGAACAACUAUUUGAGAUGCUUUCUCUAAAGUAAAACUGCAGUAUUUGUUGCUUCAAUAACUUGUAUUUACCUAUAAAACACAUUUUAAGACAAUUUUGAGUUUACUGCAGGAAUCCUUUGUCCAUGUCUUCCUGGGAGACAUGUUGGGAUUUAAUGACAGCCCUAGGGAGAGAGUUAUUUUUGAUAGCUGUUUGUCACGGUUGUGCGAGGAUGUAAACAAGAGUUAAAGCACAGAAAUCAGCACACUGCACCCUGUCUAUUGUGCAUCCAGAGUGAAUGACUCACCGCUUCACCAUGCAUUUUUACCUGUAAAUAUCCCUUCAUUAGUCUAUACAUUAUCUUUGCAGCACAACACCAGCUGCAAGUAUAAUUUACUGAAUCAAGGCAUACCUUUACUACUAAGGAGCAGCUUUUCAUAUGACUGUCUUGUGAAAACAAAUUAGCCUAAAUUCUAAAUUCUUCUAAAUUGAAGUCAAAUAAGAGACCAGCUCAAACAAUGUCGAUGCUAAUAGGUUUGACUCACUGCCUAAUACAAGAUAGCAACAUCCAGACGUUGUUAGGAGAUAUUUGAUUUACAGAGUACAACACAA